AGGACGAACGCUGGCGGCGCGCUUAACACAUGCAAGUCGAACGGAGCACUUCGGUGCUCAGUGGCGAACGGGUGCGUAACACGUGAGCAACCUGCCUAUGGGUGGGGGGAUAACCCGGGGGAAACCCGGGCUAAUACCGCACGAGGUCGUGGAGUCGAGUGACUUUGCGAUGAAAGAAGCUGCAAGGCUUCGCCUGUAGAGGGGCUCGCGGCGUAUCAGCUAGUUGGUGAGGGUAAUGGCCCACCAAGGCGACGACGCGUAGCCGAUCUGAGAGGAUGAUCGGCCACAUUGGGACUGAGAUACGGCCCAGACUCCGUACGGGAGGCAGCAGGUGGGAAUCGUUGCGCAAGUGGGACGAAAGCCGUAGACGCAGCGACCGCGCGUGGCGGGAGGACGCGUUUUCGGAGUGUAACCGC
rnacentral:rRNA from 1 species